UAUAUUAUUUCUAUUGUUAUUUGAUUAUUAUUGUAUAUAAACACGAGAAACAUUUUUUUCUAGCUCCUUGUUUUUGUGUUGGCAUGAACUUUUAAAUUUUUUCUGUGCGUUGUCUCAAUCUCUGUGUAUUUAUUAAAACAAUUAAUAUCACGUAUUGAUAGUGAAUGGCAGUCGUAUUAAUCUAAGUAUUAAGCCUAAACUUUCAGAUUAUAUGACAGGCUCGUAUUUUACUUCUUGGUCUAUUUUAUUGUCUGGUAUUGUGUGGCAUACCUCUGGAAGGAACCACUUCCGGUUUCUUAAAAUUGUUGACUGUUAACGCCAUUUUUUUGUGAUGCGACAAACGCUCACCAGCCGGCUCUUAAUGCCAGAUUUUGUGAUUUUCUUUUUCAUUGUUAUAUCGUGUUCUGAUUAUUGUGUACUCUUGUGCCUUCUCUCUCUCUACUGUCUCAGCUGAUAAAGCUGUCAUUGUUUUCCUGACGAUCUGCCAGUAUCAUCAGAUCAGUAGGACCAAAAGAGGCCUAACAAUUAUCAAUCUCAUUUAGAACGUCCGGUUAACGAAAAACAACACUCAUUUUAUUGGUCACAUCUUUUCCAAUAGAGGUGUCAGUUGGUUGUUGUUAUUAAGGGUUUUUUCUGAACUUUUAAUUUUUGUACAGUUUAGUCUGUUAGAUAUUUGGUUCUGGUUCUAAUUGAACAGUUUAGUCCGUUAGAUACUUGGUUCUGGUUCUAAUUGAACAGCUUAGUCCGUUAGAUACUAGGUUCUGGUUCUAAUUGAACAGUUUAGUCCGUUAGAUACUAGGUUCUAAUUGAACAGCCUUUGAAGCUCUAGGUUUUUGAGAGAUAACAAUACAACACGAGAGUCUGGAGACUAGACCCAGAAACUUAGCCUGUGGCCUACAAACCUCUUGGGUUCCGUGAUCAUUCUAUGGGAAGAGGGGGGGGGGGUCCACGACGGUAAAGUUCGAGUUUGUUUAAAAUAAAUUAAUGUUUCAUUUUGAAAAUUUCAUUACUUUAAAUAUUAAUUCGUUUCAGCACCACAUUUAUACAAAGUAGGAUCAAAUUCUGGGUAUAUAGGGGGUCCUCGAGAUUGUCUUUGGUUCGCUUCACAAUAGAUCUUGGGCAGAAAUCACGAUAAUUUUGGACUUUCGACAAGCUUUUAAUGCUUCCAUAACGCUUUUCGAAGCGACUGUCUCUCUCUCACUAGAUACUAGAUAUAUAUAUAUAUGAAUAUAAAUUGUUCUAUGAGCAAACUAAGUUUGGAUCCACAGAUAAUCGCAGCACAGGGCAUAUGUCACGUGCGAUUUGAUUACUUAGACAAGUUCAUUUAAAAAAAAAGGACUUAUUGAUUUUUGGAAAAAUAUAACAUAAUUUAUUUGAUUUUAGCCUCUUUGAAUGGUAGUGGCUUUUAUACUUUAUCCCUCCUAUUUGAAGUGUAUUGACUUGAAAGAGUUAACACAGAUGAUAUAUAGAAUGCCUGGAUACUCGACUAUGUCUAGGUUAUGAUUAUAACACCAAUGUCUGGAGACUGGACUGUGUCGAGAUCAAAACAGGCGAUGUUAUAACCCCAGUGUCUGGAGACUGGGCUGUGCCGAGAUCAAGACAGGCAAUGUUAUAAUACCAAUGUCUGGAGACUGGACUGUGUCGAGAUCAAAACAGGCGAUGUUAUAACCCCAGUGUCUGGAGACUAGGUUGUGUCGAGAUCAAGACAGGCGAUGUUAUAACCCCAGUGUCUGGAGAUUGGGUUGUGUCUAGAUCAAGACAGACGAUGUUAUAACACCAGUGUCUGGAGACUGGGUUGUGUCUAGAUCAAGACAGACGAUGUUAUAACACCAGUGUCUGGAGACUGGGCUGUGUCGAAAUCAAGACAGACGAUGUUAUAACACCAGUGUCUGGAGACUGGGUUGUGUCUAGAUCAAGACAGGUGAUGUUAUAAGACCAGUGUCUGGAGACUGGGCUGUGUCUAGAUCAAGACAGACAAUGUUAUAACAGCAGUGUCUGGAGACUGGGCUGUGUCUAGAUCAAGACAGACGAUGUUAUAAGACUAGUGUCUGGAGACUGGGUUGUGUCUAGAUCAAAACAGGCGAUGUUAUAAGACCAGUGUCUGGAGACUGGGUUGUGUCUAGAUCAAGACAGACGAUGUUAUAACACCAGUGUCUGGAGACCGGGUGUGUCGAAAUCAAGACAGACGAUGUUAUAACACCAGUUGUCUGGAGACUGGGUUGUGUCUAGAUCAAGACAGACGAUGUUAUAACACCAGUGUCUGGAGACUGGGCUGUGUCUAGAUCAAGACAGACGAUGUUAUAAGACUAGUGUCUGGAGACUGGGUUGUGUCUAGAUCAAGACAGACGAUGUUAUAACACCAGUGUCUGGAGACUGGGCUGUGUCUAGAUCAAGACAGACGAUAUUAUAAGACCAGUGUCUGGAGACUGGGUUGUGUCUAGAUCAAAACAGGCGAUGUUAUAAGACCAGUGUCUGGAGACUGGGCUAUGUCUAGAUCAAGACAGACGAUGUUAUAAGACCAGUGUCUGGAGACUGGGUUGUGUCUAGAUCAAGACAGGUGAUGUUAUAAGACCAGUGUUUGGAGACUGGGCUGUGUCUAGAUCAAGACAGACGAUGUUAUAACACCAGUGAGUAUCUACUGGGCUGUGUCUAGACCAAGACAGGUAAUGUUAUAACACCAGUGAGUAUAUACUGGGCUGUGUCUAGACCAAGACAGGUAAUGUUAUAACACCAGUGAGUAUAUACUGGGCUGUGUCUAGACCAAGACAGGUAAUGUUAUAACACCAGUGAGUAUAUACUUGGCUGUGUCUAGACCAAGACAGGUAAUGUUAUAACACCAGUGAGUAUAUACUGGACUGUGUCUAGACCAAGACAGGUAAUGUUAUAACACCAGUGAGUAUAUACUGGGCUGUGUCUAGAUAUGAUUGCCGUUUGUUGCAUAUCGAUUUAUUCAAAGUGCCCUUAGAAGUUUGUGAGUUUGUAAAAAGAAUGAACUUUUUAUUGAAAACAAACAUUUAAAUAGUCAGCACAAUUUUGGCUAAAGAAUAUUUUCCAGGUCAGUUAACAUAACGGAAAUAAAAUAGAAGUCGUAUCCAAAUACCUUUUUUUUAAAGAAUAGAAUUCGUUUCCAAAUACCCAUUUUUUAAAUAGAAGUCGUAUCCAAAUACCUUUUUCUUAAAUAGAAGUCAUAUCCAAAUACCUUUUCUUUAAAUAGAAGUCGUAUCCAAAUACCUUUUUUUAAUUAGAAGUCAUAUCCAAAUACCUUUUUUUUAAAUAGAAGUCGUAUCCAAAUACCUUUUU